AUUUAGCUGAAGAGUCCCAGGUAGGAAGAAAUACACAUCCUAAAU
rnacentral:hammerhead_ribozyme from 1 species